rnacentral:lncRNA from 1 species
GCGAGCGAGGAAGUCGAUUUAUGCACGUUGCAACUCACUGGUGGCAGCCACUCGACUGAGUCACUCGUUGGCUUGUUGGGAACACUAAAAGAGGACUGAAAACCGACUUCAAAUAGAUCUACAAGAAAAGGAUUGCCUGAGAAAAUGUUCUUUCAUCGGCUUCACUUGUUCUCUCCAGAGGGAAAUCUUUGUUAUCGCAAGUUCGAAUCAUCGAGGGAGUAGUGGACUGUCUACCGCAAAAGGUUUCGUAACGUUAGACUCUUCUUUCACACGCCCGCCAAGGUUAUAGUAUAUUCCCAAAUGUUAAGACAAAUGUUUGAAAAGACAAUAUCUCAGCACCAAUGCGAUCAUUCGCAAGUGUCACUUUUAGAAACUAACAUCUGCGAUCCAAUUUUUUGUUGUUGUUGUUGUUGCUAACUACUGAUAAACUGAAAAAGCUUCUACCAUUCCCAACGUUCUGACACUAAACAACAGAAUUUUUAAUUUGAAACAUAGAAGAAGACAAAACGAAAAGAAAUUGGAUGUUGUAUUUCUUAUCGUUUUCCAACUAGACACUGGUUCGUUUGUUCAGUUGUUUGGUCUCGGCUGCGCGAGGCCGUCCUUUAGCUCCUGCUCCGGUGGUGUAUGCUUGAUUCCACGGCUGUUCUUCCGCAGAGCUGAAUAAAGUAAAGACAAUCAACUCCACCAACAAAAUAGCAGCCGUCGUAAAGAAGACAAUUUGCCACGAAUUGACGGUUUGCUGUUCGUGAGAAAUAAGAGAUAUUUAAUUCAUUUCUUGAUUGUUGAUAUGCUAUUAAUUUUGUGCUCCACGCUUACAUUUCCGUGAGUCAGGGCACCGACAAAGACGGGCACUAUGAACCCUGGAAUGGUGGCGGCUGUAUUGGUGAGAGCGAGCAAAGUUCCGGCGUAGUUGGAUGCCAAGUCUGUAGGAUUAGCCAAUAUGCCACAAUACAUGGCAGCCAUGAACAUGGUGCCUAGAGACAUGAGAACGAUGGCGGUAAUUCGGUCGCAUCCGGCCAAACUAACACCGAUGAAACAUAAUGCCGGCAGUAGCGAAGCUUUGCAAAAAUACCAGUCACAAUCGAUCAGUAAAAUUCCAAAGUAAUAAUUCUAUUUAGAACCACGCUCUAUUAUACUCACCGACAGCCGUAGACAAUUUGCGGACGGUCGUAGUGUUGAUCCAUUUCUUGUUUUUGCUGUAGUCCAUCAAGUUACUCCAAAUGAUACUGAACACCCACAGGCAAAGGUAAGGCACAGCGGACAGCAGAGAGUUCUGUUGAUCAUCAGCAAUCAAAUAUUAAGACUGUUGUGGAUUCUGAUCGGUUAGCAUUACUUUGCCAAUGUUGAAACGAAGGAUGUGUUUCAUGUAAGUUGGCAAUUCAACGAGUAGCAUGUACCAUCCGAAAUUGUUGCACAUGUGCGCAACUAGAAGGGCCCAGAACGGAACUGAAGUCGCAAUGGCCUUCCACGGCACGGGUAAGUUCUAGCGUUAAACAUUAGCGAUAAAUUGUGAAGAUCUUUCGUAAUGUGAAAGUAAUUAAGAGGUCGGAAUUUUAGAGAACGUACCGGACGUUUAGCACCACCAUUUUCCAUGCACUUCUCAAAGAGAUCUCGCUCAGCUGGAUGGAUGCGUGGAUGAUCCUUGGGCGAGUCAAAGACGAGUAAGAUCCACAAGAUACACCAAAUGGAUCCUAGUCCUCCUUGAACGUAAAAACUGACUCCCACCCGAUUUUUUCAGCCAAAAUUCCAGAGAAAGGCAGAGCAAUGACAGUACCCAAAGACAUUCCUGAAAAAAAACAAAAAAAAAAACAGCCAAAUGUAAUCAGAGAAACGAGUGCGGAUCGUACGGAAAACUAACCAGCGUAGACAAGUGAAGAUAUUUUGUUGCGCUCGUUUGGCGGUGCCCAUUUAGACAACAACACUUGGAGGGCCGGCAUAGACACUCCCUGUUAAACAAUGUUUACAUAUCUGAUCGUUGAGUAUAAUGAAUUCACCAUCGAAUUUCACGGGGAAAAACAAACUGGAAGAGUGAACGUACGGCGCCCAAUCCUUCGAUGAAACGGACGACCAAAACGGCAAUGUAACUGAUAUUGGCAGCCACGGGCGUCAAAAGAGUAAACAGUACAUUGACAAAGACGGAAGCCCAGACGACCCAUUUCGCUGAAAACAUUUCGGCCAUUCUUCCGCCCGGAAUUUGGGUCACAAUGUAGCCCCAAAAAUACGCGCCAAGUAUCAAUCCUUGGAUCGGUUCCGGCCAUGCGAACGGGCCAUCCUGCGUUUAUAAAAUACUUCCUUUACCAUUCCUGUUUAGAAAAAAACAGUUCAUACUAUGUUAUAGAAGCAAUUGUUUGUCUCACCUGAGAGGAAUCUGUCUGGUUUGUAUUUGCAUUUGCUGGGCAAGCGAAUUCCGAAUUGCUACUCUCGUUCAAAUGGGUAUCAUUGUUAUGGCUAUCGUAUGUUAAUGCCAUCUCGCUUAGAGCUGUACUGUUGACCUAUAUACACAAUCAGUGACGAA